ACGAACGCUGGCGGCGUGCCUAAUACAUGCAAGUCGAACGGUCUUUCUAUGGAAGCUUGCUUCCACUGAGAAGAUAGUGGCGAACGGGUGAGUAACACGUGGGUAACCUGCCCAUAAGAGGGGGAGUAACAUCCGGAAACGGGUGCUAAUACCGCAUAGUUUUCUUGAUCGCAUGAUCGGGAAAGGAAAGACGGCCUUUGUGCUGUCGCUUAUGGAUGGACCCGCGGCGUAUUAGUUAGUUGGUGAGGUAACGGCUCACCAAGACGAUGAUACGUAGCCGACCUGAGAGGGUGAUCGGCCACAUUGGGACUGAGACACGGCCCAAACUCCUACGGGAGGCAGCAGUAGGGAAUCUUCCGCAAUGGACGAAAGUCUGACGGAGCAACGCCGCGUGAGUGAAAGAAGGUUUUUCGGAUCGUAAAACUCUGUUGUCAGAGAAGAACAAGUUGGAGAGUAACUGCUCCAGCCUUGACGGUAUCUGACCAGAAAGCCACGGCUAACUACGUGCCAGCCGCCGC
rnacentral:rRNA from 1 species